ACGUAGGGUGCAAGCGUUAAUCGGAAUUACUGGGCGUAAAGCGUGCGCAGGCGGUUAUGCAAGACAGAGGUGAAAUCCCCGGGCUCAACCUGGGAACUGCCUUUGUGACUGCAUAGCUAGAGUACGGUAGAGGGGGAUGGAAUUCCGCGUGUAGCAGUGAAAUGCGUAGAUAUGCGGAGGAACACCGAUGGCGAAGGCAAUCCCCUGGACCUGUACUGACGCUCAUGCACGAAAGCGUGGGGAGCAAACAGGAUUAGAUACCCUGGUAGUCCACGCCCUAAACGAUGUCAACUGGUUGUUGGGAGGGUUUCUUCUCAGUAACGAAGCUAACGCGUGAAGUUGACCGCCUGGGGAGUACGGCCGCAAGGUUA
rnacentral:rRNA from 1 species